rnacentral:rRNA from 1 species
GACGGGGGGGGCAAGCGUUGUCCGGAAUUAUUGGGCGUAAAGAGCUCGUAGGCGGUCUGUCGCGUCUGCCGUGAAAACCCGAGGCUUAACCUCGUGGCUUGCGGUGGAUACGGGCAGACUAGAGGUAGGUGGGGGAGAAUGGAAUUCCCGGUGUAGCGGUGAAAUGCGCAGAUAUCGGGAGGAACACCGGUGGCGAAGGCGGUUCUCUGGGCCUUACCUGACGCUGAGGAGCGAAAGCGUGGGGAGCGAACAGG